rnacentral:rRNA from 1 species
UACGUAGGGAGCAAGCGUUGUUCGGAUUUACUGGGCGUAAAGGGCGCGUAGGCGGCAGAUCAAGUCAGCUGUGAAAUCUCCGAGCUUAACUCGGAACUGUCAGCUGAUACUGUUCUGCUAGAGUGCUGUAGGGGCAGGCGGAAUUCCGGGUGUAGCGGUGGAAUGCGUAGAGAUCCGGAGGAAGACCGGUGGCGAAGGCGGCCUGCUGGGCAGAUACUGACACUGAGGCGCGACAGCGUGGGGAGCAAACAGG